UACGGGGGAUGCGAUCGUUAUCCGGAUUUAUUGGGUUUAAAGGGUGCGUAGGCGGCUUAGUAAGUCAGCGGUGAAAUUUUGCAGCUUAACUGUAACAGUGCCGUUGAUACUGCCAGGCUAGGAUUUGGUUGCUGUGGGUGGAAUGUGUGGUGUAGCGGUGAAAUGCUUAGAUAUCACACAGAAUAUCGAUUGCGAAGGCAGCUCACAAAGCCAAGAUUGACGCUGAGGCACGAAAGUGUGGGGAUCAAACA
rnacentral:rRNA from 1 species